rnacentral:lncRNA from 1 species
CCCGGGCUGCAGGAAUUCUAACAUUUAAUAUAGCAUGAAUAAUUACUUUCAGCGAAUCUUAUAAUGUCUUUUAGUAAUUCUUAUCAGGCAGCAAAAAGCACAGUACACCCUGUAGUAUAUUAUACAUAAUAAUUACCACAAAAAACAAUCUUUGGCAAAGCACUUUCUAUAACUUUGCUUAUAUACAUAAAAUUUUCAUGAAUUUCAUACCACCCUAUGUGCUUAUUCAAUGUGAAAUAACAACAAAAAGUAGUUACACAAUAAAAUCAGAAGACCAACUGAACUUAACAUUGAAAUUAUUGUAAGGCAGCAAGUUAAACAAAUUUACCAGAUUAAAUACAUGACAGAUAAAUUACUUGGAGACUGAACAUCCAUCAAUAGUAGUUUUGAUUAGUUUGAAAGAACUUCUUGCCUUAUUACUUUAUACUUUCAUAAACACCUCACCUCACCACCACCCGAUAACAAUCCUUUCAAACUUACAAAAGGAAAAAAAAGGAUUACCUACUAAAUAUUUCAAUGUUCUGAGUUUGCCACCUGGUGCCGAUAUUGACAUAGCACAAAUUAUUACUUUCAGUGUGUCUUGUAGCAAUACUCAUAUGGCAUUUUCAAU